rnacentral:rRNA from 1 species
AAGCGUAGCGAUACGUUGAGCUAACCAGUACUAAUGAACCGUGAGGCUUAACCUU